UACGGAGGAUGCGAGCGUUAUCCGGAUUUAUUGGGCUUAAAGGGUGCGUAGGCGGGAUGCCAAGUCAGCGGUAAAAAUGCGGUGCUCAACGCCGUCGAGCCGUUGAAACUGGCGUUCUUGAGUGGGCGAGAAGUGUGCGGAAUGCGUGGUGUAGCGGUGAAAUGCAUAGAUAUCACGCAGAACUCCGAUUGCGAAGGCAGCAUACCGGCGCCCUACUGACGCUGAGGCACGAAAGCGUGGGUAUCGAACAGG
rnacentral:rRNA from 1 species